UACGUAGGGGGCAAGCGUUAUCCGGAUUUACUGGGUGUAAAGGGAGCGUAGACGGCCAUUCAAGCCAGAUGUGAAAGCCCGGGGCUCAACCCCGGGACUGCAUUUGGAACUGUAUGGCUGGAGUGUCGGAGAGGCAGGCGGAAUUCCUAGUGUAGCGGUGAAAUGCGUAGAUAUUAGGAGGAACACCAGUGGCGAAGGCGGCCUGCUGGACGAUGACUGACGUUGAGGCUCAAAAGCGUGGGGAGCAAACAGG
rnacentral:rRNA from 1 species